rnacentral:miRNA from 1 species
UGUACUCUUCCCAACGCCUGGC